rnacentral:lncRNA from 1 species
GAGAGACAGAGACAGGACGAGGAGAGAGACAGAAUCAUGGGGGAGGGAGGGAGACAGAGAAUAAAAAUAUGAAUAAGAAUAUGAGAGACAGGAAGUUUGGAGGGGUGGGUAGAGGAAAGGCUGGAUCUGGGAGGAGUCAGAGCAAGAAGUGGGAUGAAGAUGAUAAAAAUAUGUUGUAUACAUGCGCUUGCCUCAGUGGGCCACACGUCCAUUAAGAUGCUACGCAGGAAAGAGUACACAAGAUGUUCCACAAGAUCUACACGGGAUGAGGACCUGGCACCGCUCAUUCUGUGGCCCAGGUCCCUUUCAUCAGCGGAAUCCAGCACCUAUACAUGCAGGAAGAACAGUAAUUACCUUCCUGAAGAACUGCAGGAACACAGUGAGGCGUGCACACAAAGUGCAGCCCCUGACGCACGGCAAAAACCAGUACUUUAACACCAAGAAUACCUUUAAUGCCAGCACCCAGAAACUGUGAAAAAGCAAAGUCACCCAGCCUCUGGAUG